AUGCCGCCAGAUAAUUUGACUCUAGACUUUUUCUAUUUCUAUGAGGAAGACAGAGCGGCGAGCGCAACGCCUCUCUUCCUUGUGAUUGGACGGCAAUGUGCAGAGACUCGCGAUAAUCUCUAGGAUUAAGUAGCAGUGGGGUUUUCAAAUUUCAACUUCCAUUUAGACCAAAGAAAAGAAAAUACCAGAGAGCUGAUCUGUAGUACUAUUAUAGAUAUUUCGUGGUUGAAACUAAAGAAGUCUUUCCAAAUGUCUAUCCGGGCGGAAGUGAGAAUUGCCAAUAGACAAUCAAGGAUUUGGUGUAGCUGCCCAAAUAAAAUUGAGGAGGAUGGAGUACCUGGCACCAGUUUCCAUGUGGGUGCAUCAAAGACAAGUGAAUGAGAUCAUCACUUUCCUGUUCUUCUCUGGGGCACUGCAGUUUAUUCUGCUGGGCUUUCUCUGACUCCUUCUUUGCUGCCAACUAACUAGCCCCAAAAUUAUUAAGGAAAACAAAGAUACACAACAUAUACCUGGGAAUACUGAGAAGCCUUUUCCUUGCUUUGGAAUAUACUGCAUUCAUAAUCUGAAAGAGCUGUCCCUGCAUCCAUCGCACAUCAUCAGGGAUAUCGGGAAACCAGUCUACUAAUCUACAGUGAUGAAAUAAAAUGAACAUUUCAAAAGAAACCCAGAUUUGAGAACAUGUCAUUUAGGGGUAAGGAAGGAAAUAAAUUGUUCUACAAAAGCUACUUGACAUCAGU